rnacentral:rRNA from 1 species
UACAGAGGGUGCGAGCGUUGUUCGGAUUCAUUGGGCGUAAAGGGUGCGUAGGCGGCGCGGUAAGUCGGGUGUGAAAUCUCGGGGCUUAACUCCGAAACUGCAUUCGAUACUGCCGUGCUUGAGGACUGGAGAGGAGACUGGAAUUUACGGUGUAGCGGUGAAAUGCGUAGAUAUCGUAAGGAAGACCAGUGGCGAAGGCGGGUCUCUGGGCAUUACCUGACGCUGAGGAGCGAAAGUGUGGGGAGCGAACAGG